rnacentral:rRNA from 1 species
UGGGGAAUAUUGGACAAUGGGCGAAAGCCUGAUCCAGCCAUGCCGCGUGUGUGAAGAAGGUCUUCGGAUUGUAAAGCACUUUAAGUUGGGAGGAAGGGCAUUAACCUAAUACGUUAGUGUUUUGACGUUACCGACAGAAUAAGCACCGGCUAACUCUGUGCCAGCAGCCGCGGUAAUACAGAGGGUGCAAGCGUUAAUCGGAAUUACUGGGCGUAAAGCGCGCGUAUGUGGUUUGUUAAGUUGGAUGUGAAAGCCACGGGCUCAACCUGGGAACUGCAUUCAAAACUGACUGACUAGAGUAUGGUAGAGGGUGGUGGAAUUUCCUGUGUAGCGGUGAAAUGCGUAGAUAUAGGAAGGAACACCAGUGGCGAAGGCGACCACCUGGACUAAUACUGACACUGAGGUGCGAAAGCGUGGGGAGCAAACA